rnacentral:rRNA from 1 species
UACGUAGGGGGCAAGCGUUGUCCGGAAUCAUUGGGCGUAAAGAGCUCGUAGGCGGUUUGUCGCGUUGUUCGUGAAAACUCACAGCUCAACUGUGGGCGUGCGGGCGAUACGGGCAGACUUGAGUACUGCAGGGGAGACUGGAAUUCCUGGUGUAGCGGUGGAAUGCGCAGAUAUCAGGAGGAACACCGGUGGCGAAGGCGGGUCUCUGGGCAGUAACUGACGCUGAGGAGCGAAAGCGUGGGGAGCGAACAGG